GUGGCGAUAAGCGCCGAAUUGCAGGCUGUGUCUGUCUGCUCCCUGUGCGGACCUUGCCCUGCCCAGCAGCCCCAGCCCCGGAAGUUUGCUGGCUCAGCCCCAGCGCAGGAGCAGCUGCAGGCAACAGCCCCGGGUGUGCCUGAGGAGCCAGCCAAGGCAGGCGCUCACUGGACACCCUCCAACCUGGGCGGCGGCUGCUCCUAGACAGGCACUCUGCAAUUCUUGGAAUGCACCUGGAAGGCCGGCCUCCGGCCCUCCACACCGGGCUCCAGGGCCCCUUCCAGAGCAGGAGGCCUUCUUGCCCUCCCUCAAGCUGGGCUUUGGGUCUCCUGGUGCACUCCUGGACCCGAGCAUUGGUGCCUGCCCUGGUACCACCUGAGGGUGGGGUGGAGGGCACGGGCGGGGCUGACUCAUCUGCGUUGGGAGCUGAUGCCUGGCAGCGGUGCUGGCCAGUGGGUGUGUUUGUUGAUCCAGUGAAUGGAGGAAUGUGAGGAGGUUGGUGGGGAGUGAGCUUUGACCUGCAGCCACCUCCCCUGUCCACCUGCCUGGGGGAAAGUCAGAGUCCUGAGUCUCACUCAGAGGCUGGAGCAGGAGGUCAGGUGUGGGCGAGGGGUCCACCUUUCCUGCCCUGAUGGGGGAGGGAGGCCCAGCGCCCCCAGGGCCGCUCCUGCCUGGGGCUGUCUCCCUUGCACCCAGUCAUGCUUCCGAGCUGCACACCUGGUCCAGAGAGGCCAGCACAGGCCGGAGCAGGGUGAAGAAGGUGGGGUGAACGUGAUUUAGUUGGAGAGAGGUUGGAGAAGUCCCUGGGGUCGGCAGGGAGUGCAGAGGAGGGCUUUGGGCCCUGAUUAAGAGUGUGUGUGUGUGUGUGUGUGUGUGUGUGUGUGUGUGUGGAGUGGAGGCCGAGGUCAGAGGUCUGGGAGGGUGGAAAUGUGGACACUGAAAGGGGGUUUUCUGUCAGGCUUGAACCCACCAUGCCCGGGGCAGCAGGGUUCAACCCGGCUUGAGCACUGAUUUUCUAAGACAUACAGAGGCCCCCUCCUCUUUUCCUUCAGUGGCUCACCCUCAACCCUCUGUACCUCCAGCGCUCCCAGACUCCAUCCCGGCCCUAUUCUGAGCUUGCGCCCAUCCCUUCAUCCAUCUACCCAUCCACCUACCCAUCAUCCACUCAUCCACCCAUGCUCCCAUCUACCCACCCAUUCAUCCACUCAUCCACCCACCCUCAUCCAUUCAUCUGCCCAUUCAUUCAUCCAUCCACCCACCCAUCGAUCCAUCCACCCACCAUCCACUUACCCAUCGGCCUACCCACCCAUCAUCCACUCAUCCACCCAUCCACCCACCUACCCACCCAUUCAUCCACCCAUCCUCCCACCCUUAUCCAUCCAUCUGCCCAUCCAUUCAUCCAUCCACCCAUCCACCAACACAUCCAUCCACCUACUCAUCCACCCAUCCACCUACCCAGCCAUCAUCCACUCAUCCACCCAUCCCCCCACCUACCCACCCAUUCAUCCACCCAUCCACCCACCCACCCACCCUUUCAUCCACCCAUCCACCCACUCACCCUUCCAGCUGUGGCACCUUGGGCAGCUGUUCUGCUCUAUGCUUGCUGACAAGGACACGACCGCCCCCAGUCACCUCCAGCCAGGUCCUUCCUCCCACAUCCCUGCCCCUCCCUUGGCUUUUUGCUCUGUAGCUGGCAGCUUUGCCUACUGGGGCUUC
rnacentral:lncRNA from 1 species